GAUGAACGCUGGCGGCGUGCCUAAUACAUGCAAGUCGAGCGAACAGACGAGGAGCUUGCUUCUCUGAUGUUAGCGGCGGACGGGUGAGUAACACGUGGAUAACCUACCUAUAAGACUGGGAUAACUUCGGGAAACCGGAGCUAAUACCGGAUAAUAUAUUGAACCGCAUGGUUCAAUAGUGAAAGACGGUUUUGCUGUCACUUAUAGAUGGAUCCGCGCUGCAUUAGCUAGUUGGUAAGGUAACGGCUUACCAAGGCAACGAUGCGUAGCCGACCUGAGAGGGUGAUCGGCCACACUGGAACUGAGACACGGUCCAGACUCCUACGGGAGGCAGCAGUAGGGAAUCUUCCGCAAUGGGCGAAAGCCUGACGGAGCAACGCCGCGUGAGUGAUGAAGGUCUUCGGAUCGUAAAACUCUGUUAUUAGGGAAGAACAAAUGUGUAAGUAACUGUGCACGUCUUGACGGUACCUAAUCAGAAAGCCACGGCUAACUACGUG
rnacentral:rRNA from 1 species